rnacentral:rRNA from 1 species
AAAGGGCGCGUAGGCGGUCUUUUAAGUCGGGGGUGAAAGCCUGUGGCUCAACCACAGAAUUGCCUUCGAUACUGGGAGACUUGAGUUCGGUAGAGGUUGGUGGAACUGCGAGUGUAGAGGUGAAAUUCGUAGAUAUUCGCAAGAACACCGGUGGCGAAGGCGGCCAACUGGACCGACACUGACGCUGAGGCGCGAAAGCGUGGGGAGCAAACAGGAUUAGAUACCCCGGU